rnacentral:rRNA from 1 species
UACGAAGGGGGCUAGCGUUGCUCGGAAUCACUGGGCGUAAAGCGCACGUAGGCGGAUUGCUAAGUCAGGGGUGAAAUCCUGGAGCUCAACUCCAGAACUGCCUUUGAUACUGGCGACCUUGAGUCCGGGAGAGGUGAGUGGAACUGCGAGUGUAGAGGUGAAAUUCGUAGAUAUUGGGAAGAACACCGGUGGCGAAGGCGGCGCUCUGGACCGAGACUGACGCUGAGGCGGCGAAGGCGUGGGGAGCAAACAGG